UACGUAGGGUGCGAGCGUUAAUCGGAAUUACUGGGCGUAAAGCGUGCGCAGGCGGUUCGUUGUGUCGGCGGUGAAAGCCCCCGGGCUUAACCUGGGAAUGGCCGUUGAAACUGGCGAACUGGAGUGUGGCAGAGGGGGGGUGGAAUUCCGCGUGUAGCAGUGAAAUGCGUAGAGAUGCGGAGGAACACCGAUGGCGAAGGCAGCCCCCCUGGGUCAAGAUUGACGCUCAUGCACGAAAGCGUGGGGAGCAAACAGG
rnacentral:rRNA from 1 species